AAAGCGCGCGCAGGCGGUUUUGUAAGUCUGAUGUGAAAUCCCCGGGCUCAACCUGGGAAUUGCAUUGGAGACUGCAAGGCUAGAAUCUGGCAGAGGGGGGUAGAAUUCCACGUGUAGCAGUGAAAUGCGUAGAUAUGUGGAGGAACACCGAUGGCGAAGGCAGCCCCCUGGGUCAAGAUUGACGCUCAUGCACGAAAGCGUGGGGAGCAAACAGGAUUAGAUACCCGUGU
rnacentral:rRNA from 1 species